rnacentral:rRNA from 1 species
GAUGAACGCUGGCGGCGUGCCUAAUACAUGCAAGUCGAGCGAACGGACGAGAAGCUUGCUUCUCUGAUGUUAGCGGCGGACGGGUGAGUAACACGUGGAUAACCUACCUAUAAGACUGGGAUAACUUCGGGAAACCGGAGCUAAUACCGGAUGAUAUUUUGAACCGCAUGGUUCAAAAGUGAAAGACGGUCUUGCUGUCACUUAUAGAUGGAUCUGCGCUGCAUUAGCUAGUUGGUAAGGUCACGGCUUACCAAGGCAACGAUGCGUAGCCGACCUGAGAGGGUGAUCGGCCACACUGGAACUGAGACACGGUCCAGACUCCUACGGGAGGCAGCAGUAGGGAAUCUUCCGCAAUGGGCGAAAGCCUGACGGAGCAACGCCGCGUGAGUGAUGAAGGUCUUCGGAUCGUAAAACUCUGUUAUUAGGGAAGAACAUAUGUGUAAGUAACUGUGCACAUCGUGACGGUACCUAAUCAGAAAGCCACGGCUAACUACGUG